CUUUCACAGGGGCAAACGACUCCGAAGGCGGGUAGUGCGUCUACACUCCUGAGCUUUCAUUGGCUACGCGAACGGUGGUUAUGAAUAAUUCAUAACGGACGACGCUCAGCCAAUCCGAAUGCACGUUUUUCUCCCCAACGAAUCAAAAUCGGAGUAAGGCGGGAAGUCAUAAAACACGUCUUCCUAUUGGUCUAUCUUUAGAAAAGGCGUAACUACAAGAGGUACGGGUGUAAUUAAAUGUAAAUAUUCAACAACGCGAAAGGUGAUUUGUGGGCAUGAGUAUGAAUAUGUACGACCAAGUAAGAACUGACCAAUCGAAGUGAGCUAUAGCGAUGUUCGUAUCGUCCCGCCUCUUUUACGAACAUUGCCGAUGUUUGCCGAAGGCUGUUUUCCCCGUCUGAGCAAAAGUAAAAAAACGCUACUGUUCCGUCCGUCUCGCCCUGGACCAGCUACGAGUGUUGGAAACGAAGCUCGCGCGAAAGGCCUACCUCAACCAUUGAAGAUCCAAACAUAUACAUUUUCUUUAGUUUUAAUGAUAAACGGCUCAAAGUCGUUUUGACAAUAUUCUUUAGCAUGAUUUUAAGUAUGACCGCUAUUCUUGGUAGCAUUUCUUAACAUUUGCUACUGUUUUAUGGGAAAUUGCAAGAAGCCUCGGAGUCGAGUUAAAGCAAUGGCCGGACAACUGACACUGAAUUUCGGUAUGCGGAGUUGGAAAGCCCCCGGAAAGCCUGGAGCUUUGUACCAACUACAUCUUUUAAUCAUUUUUAUAUACAAAAUAUCAGAAGGUAUCGUUUAGUGUUUGUGAGACGAUUGCUUAAAAGGGUGGUACGUAUUUUAAGUUUUGAUCCAUAUUUUUUUUGAGAUUUUACGUUGUAGGCCGUCGUAAGGCUCCAGCGGAUAACGUUAGAGAACACUAAUCUAUAGAAACAGAAAGACGAGCUUAAAAAAAAACACUAUUUGAGAAAUGAUUCCGAUGAUAUGUUAAGACAAUAGCGAAUUUUACUUUAAUGUAGACGUCUUGUGUUUGUUGUUGUUAUUAUUACUAUUAUUAGUAUUUUGUCGUCUGAAACAAAAAAGUGCGUUAGGUAACACUGGGUGUAAUACUAACGUUAUAAUAUAGUAUGAAGGUUAGCAUUUAUCUCCGUGUUAUUUAAAUUACACUACGUCACUGAUAUACUGUAGUAUUCGUUACACUAUACUAUAUUCUAUAUUCUACACUAUAUUCUAUUCUAUAUUCUACACUAUAUUCUAUUUUAUAUUCUACACUAUAUUCGUUACACGUCGUUGACUUUGAUCACCACCUUGAUUUAGCGCUUUUUUAAAAAUAAAUAAAUAAAUAAAAAUAGAGAAUUUUUUUUCUCGUGCUACAACUCGCCGUCUUUCGAAGGAGGACGUUAAAGCACAACAUGGCGGCCGUGGUUUUAGCUUCUUAGCUUAGCAUAGUUCUCUCUCCUCCACAACAACAGUGAAGUGAGGGGAUAAUACAAAUUAAUUCCCGAGUCUUCAUAUCGACGAUAAAUAAUGUUUUAAAGACCCACAUCGUUUAUACAUUUAAUUUGAUUUCCUAAACCUAGAAUAGACGAUUUUGUAAGUCACCUUUUAGGUCGUCAGGUGGAAUUUUAGUCUUGUUUUUUUUUUCGUCCUUAAAAUAAUAUUAAUAUUCCGCUAGAUUAGCCAGUCGAGGUAACUCUUAUUGUCGAAACUGAAGUAUUUAAGAAAACAAAGAAAAUAAUAACAAAUGCUGGCUAAGUUUCCAAGUACUUUGUGUAUCUAGGUGAGAUUAGUUGCCAUGGUGAUUGUUUUUGAUAAAGUAGCACUGAAAUACACGUUAAUGUUAUGUUAUUACUGUAGAAAAGGGUGUGUAAUAUAGCUUAUUAGUUAUAUAUUUAUUUAUUUUUCAAGUACGGGGGGGGGGGGGGGGGUGUCGGUAACUUGCUCUUGCACGCGCGCAAUGCUAAGUAAGCUAGCUAGCUAGCAUAAUGUUGGUCUAGCAAUUGUCUUCGGUCGGACAUUAAAACGACAAUUUGUUCGAUGUUGAAACGAUUAUGAGCUAGUAUGUCGGUUUGUUUUUAAGUACUAGCUAAUUAUCGAACAUUAGGCAGCAGGUUAGUUAGCUAGCCAGCUAGUUUUCUUAGCCAGCUAACAGUAAAAGCUUUGUUAUAUGUAACUUGGGUGUGUUUUCAGCGUCGCUGAGGUUUUUUUUUAAUCUAUAUACACGUACAUGUGUAUUUGGUUAAAGAGCAUGUUCUUAGCUAUAUUAUUUAAAAUAAUAAUGAUUAUAAAAACGGCUCUAAUCUGUCGUCGGGGGUGUUAUUGGUGUUUCAGUAUGGCGGAGGCGUCUGUGUAAUAAAAAUGGAGUCUGUUCUGUUCAGGGUUGUUGUUUUGUAAGGACGAGACAGAGAGAGAAGUCAGGCUGAAUCAUUUGCCCCAGCUAAACGUGUCUCCUUCCUUAUUAUAUAUUUUUCAGCGUCUAAGAAGUCAUUUCAGGCCACUGAUUAAAUGAUCCAGAUUGACUAGGCUGAAAAAACAAAUCGAGGGAAUCGCUGUCGUGCCACGGCGGCAGGAUCACAUUAUCUGCUUCACCAGUAAGUCAGGUUAGAGAGGACUUCUCUCUGUUGCCAACACUCUUUUCAGGGGAAAGAAUCUAAAGCUUGCUCAGAAAGUGGCUAGAAGUCGCUGGGUGACGUCAUGGAGACGUUAAUUUGCAUAUUACUUUUAUUAAAUCCUGAUCAUUGGUGUGUGGAGUUCCCGAUGCGGGUACAGGAAGGAAGGAAGGUUUUUCGGGAUAGAAUGGAGUUUUACUAGAAUAUAAAAUAAUAGAUUGGGAGUUAGUUUCUCCUAAGUAUAAUUGAUGUCUUAUCGAAAGAAGUCAUGUUUGGUCAUGGCGCCAUGCACAAGCUAAACUUUUACGUGUUUAUUGUACUUUGUGUCAAGAAUGUGGACACAAUGAAGUAGUCCUGAUGGAAAUGUUUACUCGCGUCUCCAAGAAGAGCGCUUAUAAGUGCAAGGGUGAGGCAAACAAUGGUGAUCAGUGAUUGAUCGGCUGGGAACAACAGUGAUUGGGAUUGGUUAUUGAAGAGUGGUGAUCAGUGAUUGGCUGUUGGGAACAAUGGAGAUCAGUGAUUGGCUUGUUGGGAACAAUGGAGAUCAGUGAUUGGCUUGUUGGGAACAAUGGAGAUCAGUGAUUGGCUUGUUGGGAACAAUGGAGAUCAGUGAUUGGCUUGUUGGGAACAAUGGAGAUCAGUGAUUGGCCUGUUGGGAACAGUGGAGAUCGGUGCCUGUCCUGUUGGGAACAGUGGAGAUCAGUGAUUGGUCAUUGGGAACAAUGGAGAUAAGUGAUUGGCCAUUGGGAACAGUGGAGAUCAGUGCCUGGCCUGUUGGGAACAGUGGAGAUCGGGUGAUUGGCCUGUUGGGAACAGUGGAGAUCGGUGCCUGGCCUGUUGGGAACAGUGGAGAUCAGUGCCUGGCCUGUUGGGAACAGUGGAGAUCAGUGCCUGGCCUGUUGGGAACAGUGGAGAUCGGGUGAUUGGCCUGUUGGGAACAGUGGAGAUCAGUGCCUGGCCUGUUGGGAACAGUGGAGAUCAGUGCCUGGCCUGUUGGGAACAGUGGAGAUCGGGUGAUUGGCCUGUUGGGAACAGUGGAGAUCAGUGCCUGGCCUGUUGGGAACAGUGGAGAUCAGUGCCUGGCCUGUUGGGAACAGUGGAGAUCGGGUGAUUGGCCUGUUGGGAACAGUGGAGAUCAGUGCCUGGCCUGUUGGGAACAGUGGAGAUCGGGUGAUUGGCCUGUUGGGAACAGUGGAGAUUGGAUGUUGGAAACAGUGGAGAUUGGGUGAUUAGAUGUUGGGAACAAUCCCGCUUUGCAUUUAUUUCCUAAUUUGUAAGUCGCUUUGGAUAAAAGCGUCUGCUAAAUAAAUAAAUGUAAAUGAGAACAAUGAUGGUCAGUGAUUGGACACAAUUUUAUAUUCAAGAAACGUCAGGACUCUGAAUAUCGGUGAUCUACAGCACAUGUUCCUGACCCUGGCCCUAGAAAACCCCCUGUCCUGCACAUGAUGUUCUGCUCCCAACACACCGGAUUCAGCUUAGGAAUGGAUGUUCAUUAGAUGAUUAGUUGAGUCAGGUGUGAUGGGAGGAGGGGAAAACUCUAAAAUGUGCAAGACAGCGGGUUCUCCAUGACCAAGAUCGUCACCCUGGACCUUGACGGAGGAGAGUCUUGUGACUGUGAGGACCCCAGGCAGGAACAUUUGAGGGGUGCCCAUGGUUUAUGUUAUGCCUCGUAUUAUGAAACUAUAAGAUAACUGUGUGAAGUGCCAGCAUUUAUAGACGCUAAAUGUAGCGCUGGAUCAAGCCUCCCAAUUAGAUAAACCAUCGUCACAUGACACAACCUACAGCGGAACACGUUUAUUAUUAGAUUCUCCCCAGCAUGCGCCACAGUUAUGCUUCUUCUUUCCUCUUCUAUUUCUUUUCUGGUUUCCAGACAGGUGAGUUCUCCUCGUUUUGAAAUACAGGACACUUCAAAUGGUUAUAGAGAUGUGCAUCAGCGGCCCGUGUUGUCUGGAGAACCCAGUGAACGGCAAGUUUCAGUGAUUUCUCUACUCUAACACACCUGAACCAGAUAAUUGCCUAAUUAACAGCCGUUUCUCGGUUGAAUGAGGUGUGUAGUGCAGGAAAAACACGACGAUUCUCCAUGAUUAAGGGUGGGAACGAGUGCUUUAUCGUUUUGUAGAAGGCCAGUAUGCAGUGCUGAUGUUUCUUGAGUGUAAAGUGUGUGUGUGUGUGGUACAUUUAGAGGCGUUAUGGUUUGCAAUUUUGACCGUGAUAAUUAAGUCUAAAUCUAUAUGGACUUUUGCAGUGAUGUUUUGUUGGUAAAUAAGACCUUUCAGCUGUACUCCUGUUCGAUGAGGGCUUCUGCAGAACGCAUGUCGUGAUGACGUCACACGAUGUGUCUCGGGCCAAAUCUGCGGCAAACUAUCGCGCCGUUUGCUUGGUUUUGCCUUCUGCAAUUGCGAAAUUCUGGUUGGGCUGAAUAUAUAACGACGACGCGACUUAUACUGACCACGUAAGAGAUUUUAUGGCGGAAUUUAUAUCGGAGAAAUGAACGCGAAAUCAAGGAAAUCUACGCGAUAUUAAAAAAAAGUCCUUAAAACUGGUUUGGCGGUAUAAAAAAAAAAGAAUUGGUGGACGGUAGUGGAUAGAAAGAAAUCGGCGUUUGUGAAAAUGCCAGCAGUGACGAUACUGUAAUGGUCCGGUUUGUAUUAUACCCUGCUUUAAAAAAAAAAAAAAAAACUUCGACAGACACCACACCUCAAUCCCAAAAUCAUAAUCAUCACAAAUAUAAACCUUUUUUUUUUUUUUUUGUAUGGUAAAUGUUGAUUCUUGAUCCAAUGUGAUCUUAAGCUCAAAUGUUAGUAAAACACUUCACCUGUCUGUUUUAGAUCUUUAACACCACAUUUACAUAAAAGUUCAUGUAAAGUAAGCUUAAAAAAAAAAACAUUAAAAAAAAGGUUCCUGAUCCUGUUUUGUUGGAGGAGUUUAGGUGCUUUACAUGGGCGUGUAAUGACUUGUCUGACUCGUUUACUCGUCUCAGAUUAAUUCGGUCAGUAUAGUGUUACUCGAUCUAAAUUGAAUGCUUAGAAGUGUUGAAAAUGUAACAGCCUGCUGGAAAGAACUCGGUUAGCGUUCGAUUCGUUAUUUACCGGAUCCCGAAUCGGCGUGUGAAAUCGCGUGUACGGCGUUUUAUUUACAAUCCGAGAGCUCGACUACUUUGCAGUGCUGAUUUUGUUAUUCUUAAAUGUGUGUAUGCAUUUUCAAACCCUGUUCAGAAUAAAACCUGAUUUUUACACCACA